GGAAUAUUGCACAAUGGGGGAAACCCUGAUGCAGCGACGCCGCGUGAGUGAAGAAGUAUUUCGGUAUGUAAAGCUCUAUCAGCAGGGAAGAAAAUGACGGUACCUGCAGAAGAAGCCCCGGCUAACUACGUGCCAGCAGCCGCGGUAAUACGUAGGGGGCAAGCGUUAUCCGGAUUUACUGGGUGUAAAGGGAGCGUAGACGGCCUGGCAAGUCUGAUGUGAAAGCUCGGGGCUCAACCCCGGAACUGCAUUGGAAACUGUUAGGCUCGAGUGCCGGAGAGGCAAGCGGAAUUCCUAGUGUAGCGGUGAAAUGCGUAGAUAUUAGGAAGAACACCAGUGGCGAAGGCGGCUUGCUGGACGGUAACUGACGUUGAGGCUCGAAAGCGUGGGGAGCAAACA
rnacentral:rRNA from 1 species